CUUCCUUUGAGUUUAGUUCUGCUUGUUAGGCCUGCAGAGUGCAGGGAUCAGAGUUUUAUGAGAAUGAGAUCUGGUUCCCCGCUUUGAGAGCCUUUCAUUCCGUGGAGACUCCUCCUCCGUUCCAGAGCUUCCCGGCGUCUGGAUCGACUCCCUCCGCUGGGAGAAAAGCCGUCUUGUGUUUCCUCUGUCGUCCCGCGUCGCCCGUCUUUAUGCUCUGCCUGCUGGUGGCGGGCUCCACCACCGCGUCCGGCCUCAGAGCGGUUACCAUGGCAGCCGCUUCGAUCCGUCUCCUCAGGCCUAAACCUCUCUGAGCUCCUCCUCCUGAACGGUACCGCCGACCCAAACCGGAGACGAAGCCGAACCUCCAGUUUGUCACAUGUCUCACACUAACUCAUCCAAAAACCUGGGGGGAGGAGUUAUGACACCUGUCUGGUUUUACCUGUCAGGUAACGUCUCAGCCUGGAUCCUCAGCAGAGAUUUACUGAGCUUCAUGUGUUCUGCAGAAACAGGAGCAAAGCGGGUGUGAUGCACGUCAGUGGAGGUGUGAUGAUGUGGGCCUGUUCCACAGUCCGAUCACAGGAGUUGAUGAGUCUGUUGUCAGAGUCUGGACCAGCGCAGAGAUGAUGGAUGUCGGAGGAAAAGCAGCCGAAUAUUCUUCAUCCGAGCAGGAACGCAGCGCCAUUAGUCACAGAGCGCAGGAGCGCGGCGGCUCGAUCCUCAGUGAGGGUGCAGCAAACUCUCAUUAUUCUGCAGGAUUCUCUCUGGAUCCCGUCGGGGUUUGUCACUCAGAACCAGAGCGUGUCAUCUCCUCGGGACCAGAGGGGCGGCGUCCUUUGUGAUGCGGCGGCCAGA